AUUCGUUUAAAACAGAAAGUUGAAACGAUUAAUAGUAUGAUUAGGCUAUUCAUCACUGUACCAGAGAAUAACAGGCUGAUUGAGCUAUUGUUGAAACUUUCUGCUGGGUCUAUCUUGCUAGUUUAUGGCUGGUGAUCACCGUAUCAAUUAUCAGGCACGAAAAUAUGUCACAAAGACCGCAGGGACAGUUCAUCGUGUGUGUUGUUCCUCAUUCUGCAAAGACAGUAGUGAACAUGUUAUCCUAUAGUUUGACACCGUACACAUCGUUUUACCAUUACCAUAGGUUAUCCCACUUCCAUUGUAUAAUUUUGUACAUUACAAAACAUGUGUGCUUUCGUGAAUAAUAAUGCAUUUAUGUAGAUUAACAAUUCAUUGUUACUUUCGCAAUUUUUCAUGUUUUGAAAAAAAAAUUAAAAAGUAUUAUAUACGGUAC